UGUGACUAUAAGUUUAACGGCCGCGGUAUUUUGACCGUGCAAAGGUAGCGCAAUCACUUGUCUUUUAAAUGAAGACCUGUAUGAAUGGCAUAACGAGGGCUUAACUGUCUCCUUUUUCCAGUCAAUGAAAUUGAUCUCCCCGUGCAGAAGCGGGGAUACAAACAUAAGACGAGAAGACCCUAUGGAGCUUCAGACGCCAGAACAGACCAUGUUAAGCACGCCUGAAAUAAAGGAUAAAACUGAUUGGCCCCUGUUCUAAUGUCUUUGGUUGGGGCGACCGCGGGGAAACAAAAAACCCCCAUGUGGACCGGGAGUACACUACUCCUACAACCCAGAGUUACAACUCCAAGCAACAGAAUUUCUGACCAAUAAGAUCCGGCGCUUAGCCGAUCAACG
rnacentral:rRNA from 1 species